GGAGGGAAAGGAAUUGUGUAACCAAGACAACCGCUGACUGUGGAGUGUGUUCUGCCCUGUUCUGUUCUGUUCUGUUAGAUCACCUCAAACUGCAUGCUGGGAAACCAGUUCAGUGGAAGAGAAGCGGGUGUUGUGUAGACUGACGAUGCGCUCUUCACAUGAACACGGGUGAUUGUUCCUAUGUCUCAGACACACAGAGGCAGACAUCAGGUGGGAUCAGGUGCGAGAACCAUACCAGAAUCUGAUGAUGUGUGAUAUCUCUGUUGAAGUGUGUAAAUAUGUCUAUCAGUGUCCUUGUCUCGAGCGCAGGAGAGUGUCUGUGUCUGUGUCCUUGUCUCAGGAGAGUGUCUCUGUCUCUGUCUCAGUGUCCUUGUCUCGAGGGCAGGAGAGAGAGUGUCUCUGUCUCAGUGUCCUUGUCUCUAGGGCAGAAGAGUGUCUGUGUCUCAGUGUCCUUGUCUCUAGGGCAGGAGAGUGAGAGUGUCUCUGUCUCAGUGUCCUUGUCUCUAGGACAGGAGAGUGUCUGUGUCUCGUAUGUGUUUACUGUGAGAUGGUGGCUCUUGGGUCACAUGUGUCAUAAACCGCCGAACUAUGGAACGGAUCAGCGAUGGUAUCCAGAGGCUGUACCAGAUCUGUCCCACGGUCAAACUUAGUGUGUGUGUGUGUGUGUGUGUGUAUGGGGAAGGGAGGGGGUGAUGUGUGUUGUCCUGCACUGGGCGUUGCUUCUCAUAAUUAAAUGAUCCCUCCCUCGUCAUCUCUCGCUCUUGCAGGUGGAGUUGGGGGGGGGGGGGCGGAACAUUAGAACAGCGGAACAAGUGCUAGGCGUGUGUGUGUCUGUGUGUGUGUGUAGGUGUGUGUGGAGUGGCGUUGUCACUGACAAGCUUUUUUUAGCCCUAGCCGUGACCACUCACUGACCCGCGACAAAGCUCUCUCUCCUCUCCUCUCCUCCCUGUCUCUCUCUCUCCUCUCCUCCCCUCCCCUCUCUGUCUCUCUCUCUCCUCCCCUCCCUGACUCUCUCUUUCUCUCACUCUCUUCUCUCUCUCCUCCUCUCUCUCAAGGAUGCUGGUGUCCCCGUGCUGAACCUUUUCCCAGACUGCGUCAGUGUGUGUGCUGAAAAAGAGUGUGUGUGUGCUGAAAAAGAGAGUGUGUGUCAAGAGAGAGAGUGUGUGUGUGUGUGUGUGGUGAAAAAGAGUCGAGAGAGUGUGUACUCGGAGAAAGGCUGCACCUCCAACGGCGGGGGAGGGGUGGGGCAUCACCGCCUGAGCAGAGGACAAGUUCAGAGGGAGGACAACACACACACUCACACACACACUUUCACUCACACAGACACUUACAUCGACCAUCAUCCACACAUUCAAAUCUCCACACACACGCACACACACUUUUGCACACACCUAUAGGUCUGUUUUAUCAUGGAGAUGGAAGUUUGUGAAUCUGGCGUCUCAGAUCUACCUCAGCACGAGCGGCUGUCUGGUGAAGCUCGUCAGUGGUGCUGUGGUGCUCUGGUGUCAGUGUGGGUGGGAGAAGGUGCUGUGGUGCUCUGGUGUCAGUGUGGGUGGGAGAAGGUGCUGUGUCCUUAAGUGCACUGAAUGAAAUGUGUUCCUGACUGCAGCAGAACCAUGGGUAGGAACCAGCUCAAGACCGGACUGGACAGAUGACGGCCAGAUUCUAUUCCACAGCCUGCUGCUCUUUCUGUGAGUGGUGUGUGUGUGUGUGUGUGUGUGCAUGGAGCUAACCCUAACCCUUAAGAUAAGCAGAUGGGUUUGGGGGCCAUUCUGGGCCUGAGUGG
ensembl:lncRNA